GAGGGGAGAGAAAGGAGAGAGAAGGAGGAGCACCAGACUACCCGGACCUUAACCCAAUUUUUGGCGACUGUUCUGAUGGGUUUUCCGUCGAUUUUCCUGCUUUCUUCAUCCUCUCACCACCCCCAAACCUAACCACCACAUCCCAGCAUCCAAAUAGAGCCAAAAUCGACGAGUUUUCGUCUUGAUUUCACGAAGAACACCCGUACAGGUGCCGUGAAACCCGAGCCUUCGAUCCACCAUUUUUGAAACAAUCACCCUUGACUAUCACCACCAAUCGACACCUCUUGAGCCUAGGAACAAACCCUAAACAAGUUUGGGGGUGGCAGAUCAUCGAAGUAGACAGAUCGAAGUUUACCCUUUUCGGGGUUUUCGACGGUUCGAGGGGUUUUCAGGCCAUUUUUCGACCGAACUGAACCUUGGCUCAGUGCACCAUUCCCAUGGUGUAGGCACUGAAUGUAUAGGUGACAGGCCUAAGUAGACCACGAGAAGUCGGUGGAGGUAGCAUGGCAUAGAUCAGAGCCUUGAAGCGUUUAGGUUACUCCUUUAUCACCCUUGUACUAUUUAUUUUGGGACUCUCUUUUGUGCACCAUAGGCUUGUCUUGGCCUAAUGAGGGCUGUGUAUUUUUGCGUACGAACUUGUAUGUAUCAUGUUGGGGUGACCCCACUAUCAUAUUUAUUUUGGGAUAUUGGUUUUA